CCUAUAGUUUCACCAAAAAUUACUCUCUCUCUUGCCUCACCGUUCUCUCUCUCAUGCCUCACAAUUGAGAAAUUCUAAGAUGAAAAGCUCGAUGAAGAACUCGAAAAGAUCUUGUUAUUUGUUUCUAGGGUUUUCUUUUGAUUUGUUCGGAGAAUAAAUUUUUCUGUCAAUUGCAUUCCACAUAAAUGGAAAGGAAAUUUUUGAAUUCAACAUCACACUUGUGGAUAUGGUGAUGUAAAGGUUUGUUGCUGCCAACCCAGAGCAAUUUUGAUGAGUGAACUAAUGCAGAAAACAAACAACCAUUACAAAAGAAGGUUAAAGAGUCUAAAUUUUAGUAAGUUCCAUCUUUGCAUUGUUUUUUUUCCUGUUAACAGAAAGCUUAAGUUCUAACUACUUAAGCAUAUCAAUUUGGUGGUUAAGAUGUUUAGUGUAGGCCGUAGGGUGUCAGUUUUUCAGGGUGUUAAUUUGGUACUGGAGGACGGUUCUUGUGGAUGUAUGCUUGCAUAAUGAUUUGAGUGCUGGAAAUUUAUUUUUCUUUUAAUUGGCAAAAUUUGGAGAGGAAUUAUCUUGGAAAACAGCAGCUUAAGCCUCAAGGUUUAGCCAGUUUCCUAGUUUAGACUUUAGACAGUUUAGAGUAUCUGUUGUUUCUGCAGUUUCCUUCCAUUCAAAUAUCGGUUUAUCAAAGUUGGUCUGUAAUGUAAUUAUGUGACAAUUGCUGAUAAAAUAAAUUUAUCGCCGUAUCACACUAUCACAGUAGAAGAUGCGAAAUUCUACUUCCUUUUGGCCUUCAUGAUUUUUAUGAAAUCGUUAUGGCUUAUGGGUGAAGGAAAUAAUGCCCUUGGUCCAAGUAUGCAUUCAAUGUUAAGUCUAAUAAAUGCGGUUCAGUAUUAAUUAACAAGUUAACAAUUCAGUGAGAUCAAGUGAGCUGAAUGCCUAGCUAGAGGCCGCUUCAGUUCAAGUGGAAUCAAUGAUAUUAAUCCACAGCUUACUCUUGACUGAACCCGUAGGGUCACACAAAUAGUACGUAAACGGAUCAAGUAUUUAAUGGCAUUAAAUACUCCAUCUAUGGAUAUUCGGA